AGUAUCGGUUUUUGUUUGUGACUGUUAGCUGUAGCUAAAUACUCUGAUUUGUAUGAUGAGAACUUAGUUAUAACAGAAAUUAUUUUCUUUAUUUUCUAGAGUUGCUUCGUGUAAUUACACAGCCUAAUUUCGUGGACCUGACUCAGGACGAGGGUGAAAGUGAUGACUGUGCUGGUCCUAGCAAUUGUAGCAAUAGCAGAAACCCAUCACACAGCCCCUUUGAGAAAGAAAAGGACGGAUGUAUCAUUCCGACCAACAUAGAGAGCAAAUUCACACACAGAUAGCUCGGCAGAGUCUGUCAAAUCCGCUGAUGAUGCUGAGCCCGAGAUAGAUCAAGACGCUGUAUCCAAUGGUGUGGACAAUGCCGCUAACUGGACUGAUACUCAAAUAAAUGACUGGCAAAACGCUGAUUGGUCGAGUGUACGCAGCGAGGAUUCGACACAGAUGGGUAGGCAGAGUCCGUGUCCGGGGAGGAGCCAGGAUUAAGGUCUGAGUUUCGAAGUAAUGAUGCUCGGAAUGAUUCUGUAAAUGAGAGAAUUGCAACUUUGUUCGAAGAGUUGAUUAAAAGACAUGACUCUAUGUACAAUGAGAUUCUUAAUAGACAGGAGGCCUUCUUCACUGAAAUAAAUAGCAACGUGGACGCCAGACUUCGUUACCUUCAAGACAAUCUACAGCAGUCUAUAGAGAUUUGUCUGGAGCGGUUGCAAGAGCAAAUGUCUGAAAAUUACUCUUCGGUACAAGAGGUAUUACAAUCGAGGGCUAAGAGAGAGAACGCUGAUCGUAUAGUUGCUGUGUGCAAUUAAUGGAUGUCUUCAACAUCGAUAGACAAUGAUUUUGUAAUUUUCUAUAUUAAUACUGAUCUGUUUGUGUGUGCUGUACCUACCUACACUCUGUUGUAUGCUAUAUACUUUUAAUGUAUCGCGAUUUAUUUUAUAUUAUCAUUUAUAUGUAAUCUUUUUGCUGGUAUUUAAUUGUACUCUUUUUUUUUUUAAGAGAUCAUUUUGAUUUGUAGUUUUUAAGCGACCAUCUUCAAAUGUAGCAUUCUCCUAUACUUGAUUUGUAGUUUUUCUAUGUACCAUGACAUUUUGAUUUGUAGGUUUUGUAAACAACCAUCUUGAAAUCGUAGUCUUCUCCAACACUUGAUUUGUAGUUUCUCUAGGUACUAUGCCAUUUGAAUUGUAGUCUUUUCCUAUACUUGAUUUGUAGUUUUUUCUAUGUAACAUGACAUUUUGAUUUGAAGUUUUUGUAAAUGAUCAUCUUGAAUCGUAGUCUGCUCCUACACUUGAUUUUUAGUGUCUCUAGGUGCCAUGUCAUUUUGAAUUGUAGUCUUCUCCUAUACUUGAUUUGUAGCUUUUUCUAUGUACCAACUAUUUUGUGUGUAACCUUCUUUUUGUAAUCUUAUAUGCUAUGAUGUGACUGUGAUUUAUAUUUCCUCAUAGGUUCACUAUCUUUUUACCAGCAUUGUUGCUAUUGGAUGUCGGGGGUGUACAUAGCUGUCAUACAGACCAAUCUCUUGUAGACCUGUUGCAGAACGCUAUAGAAAUGCACACAGUGCCAUCCCAUGACUUGUGCGAUAUAUUACAACAAUUGAUAGAUCAGUAUCCAAAUUUGACCGAAAUUACAUUCAAUAGCGGUCAUCAUGAAAAUACUCAUAUAUUACAACAAUUAGAAUCGGAAAUAGAACAAAGUCCUAACAUUGAUUUGUGCAUGCUGUUGCAGGUCGCUAUAAGUCAAAACGUCACACAGAACGGUGGCACAUUAACAGUUUCCGAUCGCACCACAGCUCACAACAUCAACAACAUAGAUUCGUCAACUAGGUCUAUGACUAAUAACUGCGAUCCGUCCAGGAAUAGCAACGCUGAGCGACCGACGACGUCCUGCGCUGACCGCCCUUCUGACAGAAUAUACCCUUCGACUAGCUCUAUGUCUAAUAACAGUGAUCCGUCCAGUAAUAGCAACGCUGAGCGACCGACGACUUCUAGCGCUGACCGCCAUUCUGACAUAGUAUACCCGUUGACUAGCUCUAUGGCUAAUAACGGUGAUUCUCGGGCUUCAGAUGUAAUAGAAACAAGUCUCAUUUCAUGAUUUGGUGGUACAAAUAUGGUGGUAAUUAGCCUAGGCUAUUUCGUAGUGUCAUUAAAGCGAAUCACUUUUGAUAAUGACAAUCUUGCAAACAAUUUGGCCUUAAAUGGAUAAUCUAUCUAUAAAUGGGUAAGCAUGGUGGUGUCCAAUAAACGAUGGCAACAAUCCAACGUGUCCUUGUAUUGAAUCAAAGAUGGCGCCGGCCGCAGAGCCGUUUAGUCCAUGUCAGUUUUUUUUUUUUUGGCAAAACUUAAGCCCUUUUGACAUUUUGCCUGACGUUGGCUAUAUAUAUACAGACAAAUAAUCGCUUCCCAAGACAACUCAUUAUGGAGCUGCUGGACCUUCUCAGACCUGCGCUUGCCAGGCUAAUGCUGCGAAAUUUUGCUUUAAGCCCUGAAGUCCAGCUGCUUGCAGCGCUAAGGUUUUUUGCUACAGGGAGCUUCAUCGAGGUCGUGGGAGAGGGCUACGGUCAAAGGGCUA